rnacentral:rRNA from 1 species
AGUGAACGCUGGCGGUAGGCCUAACACAUGCAAGUCGAACGGCAGCACCGUAAGAGCUUGCUCUUACGGGUGGCGAGUGGCGGACGGGUGAGGAAUACAUCGGACUCUACUUUUUCGUGGGGGUUAACGUAGGGAAACUUACGCUAAUACCGCAUACGACCUACGGGUGAAAGCAGGGGAUCUUCUGACCUUGCGCGAUUGAAUGAGCCGAUGUCGGAUUAGCUAGUUGGCGGGGUAAAGGCCCACCAAGGCGACGAUCCGUAGCUGGUCUGAGAGGAUGAUCAGCCACACUGGAACUGAGACACGGUCCAGACUCCUACGGGAGGGAGCAGUGGGGAAUAUUGGACAAUGGGCGCAAGCCUGAUCCAGCCAUACCGCGUGGGUGAAGAAGGCCUUCGGGUUGUAAAGCCCUUUUGUUGGGAAAGAAAAGCAGCAGGUUAAUACCCCGCUGUUCUGACGGUACCCAAAGAAUAAGCACCGGCUAACUUCGUG